CCCCUCUCAGGGUCGCACCUGGAGAAUUUCCAGUACUCUCCUAGUCUCGGCUAAGGGAGGGAUCAUCAAGCAGAGGCCCACCUAUUCCAUUCCUAGCUUGGGCAGUGGCUAGCGAGUGGAAGACAAUCUGCUAUGAGU